rnacentral:ncRNA from 14 species
CCAACGGCCCUCUUUAGGGCCACAAAUCUCAAUAAAAUCCUGUUUG